rnacentral:tRNA from 1 species
GAGGGUAUAGCUCAAGUGGUAGAGCACAUGCCUAGCAUGCCUUAGGUACUGGGUUCAAUCCCUUGUACCACCA